rnacentral:lncRNA from 1 species
UAGAUCCCAUUUGUCAAUUUUGGCUUUCGUUGCCAUUGCUUUUGGUGUUUUAGUCAUGAAGUCUUUGCCCGUUCCUAUGCCCUGAAUGGUAUUGCUUAGGUUUUCUUUAGCUUUCUGUGUCGGAGUCCAGGUUUUUUAUGGCCUCAGAAUGGGGGAGUGUGUGCUGAUUGGUCCAUGGGCAGGCCUGAACAAAAGCACCAUUUGAUUGGCUAAAAGGCACUGAGAAAGUUCUCACUCUGGUCAUGAACUCCACCCAGAACUGGCCGCUCAGUUUUCAGGUUUUAAACUGCCGUUGACUUGAAGGUUGAGUUUCACUGGGGACCUACCCCUAUCUGCCUAGUAAUCUGUGUCUCCUGUAGCUAUCAUCAUCACUGAUUUUCUAUGUACAGAUUUCAAUUCCAAACAAAAAUAUAUGAGAAUGUUCAUUUCUCCAUACAACUGUCCAUCCAGCCAAGGAAAACUACAGCUGAUGAAGGGAAAGUCGGUGUGAUAGUAACACCUUUGCACAUAUCCACAUUUUAAGGGGUGAAAAAGUUCGUCAUGAAAAUAGUAAAACU